CUACGGGGCGCACCAGUGGGGAAUAUUGCACAAUGGGCGCAAGCCUGAUGCAGCCAUGCCGCGUGUGUGAAGAAGGCCUUAGGGUUGUAAAGCACUUUCAGUAAGGAGGAAAGGUUAGUAGUUAAUACCUGCUAGCUGUGACGUUACUUACAGAAGAAGCACCGGCUAACUCCGUGCCAGCAGCCGCGGUAAUACGGAGGGUGCGAGCGUUAAUCGGAAUUACUGGGCGUAAAGCGUACGCAGGCGGUUUGUUAAGCGAGAUGUGAAAGCCCCGGGCUCAACCUGGGAACUGCAUUUCGAACUGGCAAACUAGAGUAUGAUAGAGGGUGGUAGAAUUUCAGGUGUAGCGGUGAAAUGCGUAGAGAUCUGAAGGAAUACCGAUGGCGAAGGCAGCCACCUGGGUCAAUACUGACGCUCAUGUACGAAAGCGUGGGGAGCAAACGGGAUUAGAUACCCGAGUAGUC
rnacentral:rRNA from 1 species